rnacentral:snRNA from 1 species
GUGCUCACUCAGUAGCACAUAUACUAAAAUUAGAACAAUACAGAGAAGAUUAGCAUGGCACCUGCGCAAGGAUGAGACACAAAUUUGUGAAGCAUUCCAUAUUUCA